ensembl:misc_RNA Metazoa_SRP Metazoan signal recognition particle RNA
GCCAAGCACAGUGGCAUAUGCCUGUACUCCCCAAAUCGGGAGGCUGAGGCUGGAGGAUUGCUUGAGUCCAGGAGUUCUGCGCUGUAGUGCAUUAUGCCAAUCAGGUGUCUGCACUAAGUUCAGCAUCAAUAUGGUGAAAUUCCAGGAGUGGGGGACCACCAGGUUGCCUAAGGAGGGAUGAACUGGCUCAGGUUGGAAAAGGAGCAGGUCAAAACUCCCGUGCUGAUCACUAGUGGCAUCACACCUGUGAAUAGCCACUGAACUCCAGCCUGGGCAACAUAGCAAGACCCUGUCUCUU